AAUAUUUUAGUUGGAUAACUGAGGUAAUUCUUGAGCUAAUACACGCUAUUUAUACCACAUUAGUGGUGCGUUUAUUUGAUUAAACCAUUUUUAUAUUGGUUGACUCAAAAUAUCCUCGCUGAUUUUGUUACUAAAACAUACCGUAUGUGUAUCUGGUUUAUCAACUUUCGAUGGUAGGGUAUUGGCCUACCAUGGUUGUGACGGAUAACGGAGAAUUAGGGUUCGACUCCGGAGAGGGAGCCUGAGAAACGGCUACCACAUCCAAGGAAGGCAGCAGGCGCGAAAAUUACCCAAUUUUAGUUAAAAGAGGUAGUGACGAAAAAUGACAACCAAAUAUUAUUAUUAAUAUUUGGAUUGAAAAUCUUCAAGUUUAAAUAACUUGUUGGUAAAGGAAAGGGCAAGUCUGGUGCCA
rnacentral:rRNA from 1 species